AUAACCCCCUCCUCCACUUCCACCACCACUGCUGCCUCCACCACCACCAGUGCCACCGUCACCGCUUUCUCCACUGCCUGCACUACCACUAGAUCCACCACCACCAUAUCCUCCACUGCCUCCGGUAUUUCCUUUGCAGUUUGUAUGAUAAGCUUCCAUGUUCAACUUUUCACCAUUUACAGCUGUGUAAUGUUAUGUAAUUGGGUUAGCAUAAUGUCACCAAAAUUAAAAUAAACCAUUAGAGGAGAAAUGAAAAAUACUUACAAAUUUCUUUCUUGCGAUCACAUCCCAAAAAACUUGCAUGAAUUCCACGAGCAGCUUCAUAAACGACAUAACAAAAAUGAGCUAUAAAGGUUUACCAAAUGCCAAAGUAUACAAUAACAUGCAUGAAAAUAAAAUAUUGGGCAUAAAAGUUCAUUAUAAUAUCAAGUCACUCAAAAAUGUCGAACACAUAUAAGGAAAUUAAAUAUUUCUUAGGUCUGUACCUCUAAUCUCAGCUUUAGAUAGCUUGUCAGCCAACACUACAGAGCUGAGAACCACAACAGAAAGAGAACACAUGAAGAUAAAGGGCUUCAUAUUCAUAUUGUAAGUGGACAUAAUAGUACUUACGAAAGAU
rnacentral:lncRNA from 1 species